rnacentral:rRNA from 1 species
AACGAACGCUGGCGGCAUGCCUAACACAUGCAAGUCGAACGAGACCUUCGGGUCUAGUGGCGCACGGGUGCGUAACGCGUGGGAAUCUGCCCUUGGGUUCGGAAUAACAGUUGGAAACGACUGCUAAUACCGGAUGAUGACGUAAGUCCAAAGAUUUAUCGCCCAAGGAUGAGCCCGCGUAGGAUUAGCUAGUUGGUGAGGUAAAGGCUCACCAAGGCGACGCUCCUUAGCUGGUCUGAGAGGAUGAUCAGCCACACUGGGACUGAGACACGGCCCAGACUCCUACGGGAGGCAGUAGUGGGGAAUAUUGGACAAUGGGCGAAAGCCUGAUCCAGCAAGGCCGCGUGAGUAAUGAAGGCCUUAGGGUUGUGAAGCUCGUUUACCCGGGAUGAUAAUGACAGGACCGGGAGAAUAAGCUCCGGCUAACUCCGUG